rnacentral:tRNA from 1 species
CACUAAGAAGCUAAAUAGGAAGAGCGUUAGCCUUUUAAGCUAAAGAUUGGUGGCUCCUAACCACCUUUAGUGA